UUGAGAUUUCAUUAAAGCAGAAUGAUCUUACCUUGAAACUGGUAAGUUUGUGCAAUUACACCAAAAGCACUAACAGAUGGGGAAACUGAGGCAUGGUCCACACAGGAAUGUCAGGACAGAGAUAAGCUGACUGUGUGACAGAUGUCCAACUUGAUACAGCCUGGUCUUGAUUCUUCAGAAAUGCUGUGUCCCCAGUUCCAAUUGGUAUUCUAUUGUUCAACAGUGCAAUUAAUCAUGAUUAAAUUUUUACCGUGAUUAAUUUUUUUGAGUUAAUCGUGUGAGUUAACUGUGAUUAAUUGACAACCCUAGUAUAGUGUCACUGAAGUUAGUGGUUAUACCAGUGUAAAACUGGGGUACAUUAGAGGGGAAUAGCCACAAGAAAUUUUGAGUUUGACUCUUUUGAUGGCCUUGGACCUGCCAUUACAUCUCAUCAUAUCCUCAUGUCUAAAAGGGGUACUAAAGUGUGUUGUGAGAAUUAAUCAAUCAAUGGGUGUAACCUUGUGAUUUUUUUUUUUUUUCUUUUUAGGUGAGUUGGAAGAUUUUUGCUUCCUCACUUACAGAGUCUGGUCUAACUCAAAAGACAUCCAGUUUUGUAGCACUUUGCAAUCUAUCAAGUGAAUUUCAGGAGAAGAAAUAUGGAGGAGUCAGUGUUUAGAUUUGGCUUGUCUGAGGAGCAUCUUCAUGCAAUGGGCCUGAACACAUUUCACCAACACAAGUGAAGUAAGCCACAGGAGUACAAGCCCUGUAAGAAACGGAAUAAAGAGGGAGACCAUAACUGCCUAUUCCUAAAUGAGUCAGAACAGUAGCAGAGACCAUCAUUUUUCACCAAAAGAAAAUAUACCAUUCAACACUCAUAAACCUCAGUAUGCUGCCUGCUCACAAGAACAAAGCAGACAAGUACCUGGUAAUACUCCAUUUAAAAUACAAGUAAGCCACACUAUUUUACCUGCCUUUCCAGUUUACUUGGAUGUGGGUUUCUUCUAUAUGCUUGAAAGAGACUACAGGUCACAACUCUGUCCUGACAAACUCUAGCAGACUACUCUGCUCGAGACAAAGUAGCAGAAACACCAUGACAAUAAAAUUCUGGUAUUGGCAUCUUGACCCUUUGUUUCAGGAACGUGAAAUAAAACAGUGACAAAACAAUUGUCUGGUGCAGUUUCAAGGUGGGGAACAGCCAACAUGUCUUUGGGUAGGGAAGAAAACAAUGACUAAAUUUCUGUAAUCGUAUGUAAUCUUCUGUUAAGUACAGUGUGCCUUCAGAGGCCAUGUUCACACUUAUUUAUAUUUGGAUAUGGAUGCUAGAUGGAAGUGGAAAAAAUAAAAAAAGGAGUGUCUGCUUUGGUAGCCAAUCCUAUGAGUAUUUAGUGAUCCUGCAAGUAGUUGACCAUAGGCCAUGUGGGCAGGGCUGUCAAGGUGUUCCGACUUUGAUUUCUGGUUGACACACACUGCAAAAGCCACUGUUCCAAGAGAGUGAGAUAUUUUCAGAAAUGUUUUAAAAAUAAGGCCAAAUGAGAGCUCACUCAAAAUAAGAAUCUCAGCAGGUCUUUCUUUGUGGUUUGUCUGCCUAUCUUAGGUGUUUAUAUUGCCCCCAUCACCAUAGUAUCUGAGAACUUCACAGUCCUUCAUAUGUUUAGCCUCACAACACCCACGUUUUACAGAUGUAGAACUGAGGCACAGAGACUUGCCUAUGAUACAUAGGGAGACUGUGACAGAGCAGAGACUUGAACCCAGGCCUCUGGAGUCCUCAGCUAGUGCCCUAUUCAGUGGGUCAUCCUUCUUUAUUUGGUUAGUAUGCUGACCCCAAAGACCUGCUACAUAAUAUCUUGUGACCACCAGAGACUCAUAACAGCAGAUUAUCCUGGGCCUGAUCAUGCUCCUAUUCUAGCAAUCUGAGUCUGGGAUCAUGCCUGAUGUUUC